AUUGAACGCUGGCGGCAGGCCUAACACAUGCAAGUCGAACGAGUGGCGGACGGGUGAGUAAUGUCUGGGAAACUGCCCGAUGGAGGGGGAUAACUACUGGAAACGGUAGCUAAUACCGCAUACCAUCGGAUGUGCCCAGAUGGGAUUAGCUAGUAGGUGGGGUAACGGCUCCCCUGGGCGACGAUCCCUAGCUGGUCUGAGAGGCUGACCAGCCACACGGGAACUUCGAGACGGUCCAGACGCCUCCGUGAGGCAGCAGUGGGGAAUAUGGCACAAUGGGCGCAAGCCUUAUGCAGCCAUGCCGCGUGUAUGAAGAAGGCCUUCGGGUUGUAAAGUACUUUCAGCGAGGAGGCGUUACUCGCAGAAGAAGCACCGGCUAACUCCGUGCCAGCAGCCGCGGUAAUUC
rnacentral:rRNA from 1 species